rnacentral:rRNA from 1 species
AUGGCCUCCAUGGAGCGCACGAUCGCUAGGCAGCGCGCCCGCAUCGCGUCUCUCAAAGACGGCGACGCCAACACGAGUUUUUUCCACCGGCAAUGCUCCUUCCGCCGGCAGAAAAACCGUGUGCACAACCUUGUGGUGGACGGGCAGGUGCUCUCUGGCCACGAGGAGAUGGCAAACGCUGCUUUCAUGCAUUUCGAUGGCUUGCUGGGCACCGCCGUUGACCGGGAACGCACGCUGGACCUUUCCCAGCUCAUCGCCCCAAGUGACCUCGAAUGCCUCGAUGCGCCCUUCUGCCAGGAGGAGAUUUGGGAGGGAGUCAAGCGGAUGCCGGCGCGCAAAGCGCCUGGGCCAGACGGCUUCACCGCGGAGUUCCUGCGCGCUUGCUGGAGCAUCAUCCGGCAGGAUGUCUGGGACGUUUUCGAGCUGCUCUACGCUCUGCGAGGGCGCAGGUUCAGUAAGCUCAACCAAGCGUUGUUGACCCUGCUGCCCAAACGAGCAGAUGCCCACAAGCUCGGCGACUAUCGGCCGAUAUGCCUCAUCCACAUCGUGGCCAAGAUCUUCGCGAAGGUCCUGUCCUUGCGCCUAGCUCCCAAGCUCGACACCCUUGUCAGCCGCAACCAAAACGCGUUCAUCGCCGGGCGGAGUCUUCACGACAACUUCAUUCUCGUCCGGCAAUCCCUCAAGAUGCUGCGUCAACUGGGGCGCCCAGGAUCAUGCUUAAGCUCGACCUCACGCGUGCCUUUGACUCCAUCUCCUGGCCCUUCCUCUUCGAGGUGCUGCGCCAGUAUGGAUUUGGGGACAGAUUCAGAGAGUGGCUGGCCAUUUUGCUGUCCUCGGCGAGCACCCGUGUCAUGCUCAACGGUGUUCCCGGCCCGCCAAUCUGGCAUCGCCGCGGUCUGA